rnacentral:sRNA from 1 species
ACACGACCUACCGAGGGGCACUCGGAAAGUUACGUCUGUGGAGACGACGUGAGACCUGGGGGAUAGGCGUUGGUUCGUCACCGUAAAAAUCC